CUCAAACUCUUCCAUGUCCACUUCACCAUCUCCAUUCAAGUCAAACAUCUUGAAGGCGAUUUCAAAAUUCCUUUGGGGAGUGGAAAGGACUGUUGUGAGGAAAAUGUAGUCCGAAAAAGAAAUGAGUCCACAUUCCCCAAGUGCAUAAAAUAUGCUGUCUUCAUCAGCAAACUUCUCUCGCUCCUGAGACAACUUCUUCCCAUCAUAGCGUUUCACUAUAAACUGAUCCAGCCCCAGAUUUUCUGGUUGUUUUUCAUUAGGUGUUAUCGAUCUCACGAAAUCCUGCGGCGUCAUAAAAACCUCAGAUUCACCGUGUUCAUUUAUCACCUUCAAAGUGGCAAAGUAUCGGAAGAUUUUGUCUGGCGUGGAGUAGGCUCUGAUCCGGUUCUCAUAUUCCAUCACCUUACGAUCCCUGAAGCCAGAACACUUCUUCUUCUUCCCCCCUUCUGAGUGAGCCUCCUCACUGCCUGAUGCCACGGCCCUCCUGCCUUCAUCGCCACUGCUCUCCCCCUCCUCCCGGUGCUUCACCUUCUCACCCGGCUCUGCCCUUG
rnacentral:lncRNA from 1 species